ACUGAAAGCAUUUGCCAAGGAUGCUUCCUUUAAUCAAGAACGAAAGUUAGAGGUUCGAAGGCGAUCAGAUACCGCCCUAGUUCUAACCGUAAACGAUGCCAGCUAGCGAUCCGUCGAAGUUCUAACGAUGACUCGACGGGCAGCUCCCGGGAAACCAAAGCUUUUGGGUUCCGGGGGAAGUAUGGUUGCAAAGCUGAAACUUAAAGGAAUUGACGGAAGGGCACCACCAGGAGUGGAGCUUGCGGCUUAAUUUGACUCAACACGGGAAACCUCACCAGGCCCGGACACUGGAAGGAUUGACAGAUUGAGAGCUCUUUCUUGAUUCAGUGGGUGGUGGUGCAUGGCCGUUCUUAGUUGGUGGAGCGAUUUGUCUGGUUAAUUCCGAUAACGAACGAGACUCUAGCCUGUUAACUAGGCGAACACAAUUCCGGCAUCG
rnacentral:rRNA from 1 species